rnacentral:rRNA from 1 species
CAGUAGCCACGGUAAUACGGAGGGGGCUAGCGUUGUUCGGAAUUACUGGGCGUAAAGCGCACGUAGGCGGCUUGGUAAGUUAGGGGUGAAAGCCCGGAGCUCAACUCCGGCAUUGCCUUUAAGACUGCCGAGCUAGUAGGUGAGAGAGGUAAGUGGAAUUCCGAGUGUAGAGGUGAAAUUCGUAGAUAUUCGGAAGAACACCAGUGGCGAAGGCGGCUUACUGGCUCAUUCUAGACGCUGAGGUGCGAAAGCGUGGGGAGCAAACAGGAUUAGAUACCCGGGUAGUCCCUGUCUCUUAUAC